GAUGAACGCUGGCGGCGUGCCUAAUACAUGCAAGUCGAGCGAACAGACGAGGAGCUUGCUCCUCUGACGUUAGCGGCGGACGGGUGAGUAACACGUGGAUAACCUACCUAUAAGACUGGGAUAACUUCGGGAAACCGGAGCUAAUACCGGAUAACAUAUUGAACCGCAUGGUUCAAUAGUGAAAGACGGUUUUGCUGUCACUUAUAGAUGGAUCCGCGCCGCAUUAGCUAGUUGGUAAGGUAACGGCUUACCAAGGCGACGAUGCGUAGCCGAACUGAGAGGGUGGUCGGCGACACUGGAGCGGAGACGCGCACCAGAGUACUACGAGACGCAGCAGUAGGGAAUCGUCCGCAGUAGGCGGGAGCAUGACAGAGCAGCGCCACGUGAGAGAUGGAGGUCUCGGGAGCGGGAUGAUCGGUUAUUAGUGAAGAACAAAUGUGUAAGGAAAUAUGCACGUAGUGACGGUACCUGCAGAGGAAGCCACGGCUAACUACGUG
rnacentral:rRNA from 1 species